GAUGAACGCUAGCGGGAGGCCUAACACAUGCAAGUCGAACGGGAUUGAGAGCUUGCUCUCAUGAGAGUGGCGCACGGGUGAGUAACGCGUAUGCAACCUACCUUUAACUGAGGGAUAGCCCAUAGAAAUGUGGAUUAAUACCUCAUAGUUCUUUUGUUCCGCAUGGGAUGAAAGAUAAAGCUCCGGCGGUUAAAGAUGGGCAUGCGUGACAUUAGCUAGUUGGUGAGGUAACGGCUCACCAAGGCUACGAUGUCUAGGGGUUCUGAGAGGAUGAUCCCCCACACUGGUACUGAGACACGGACCAGACUCCUACGGGAGGCAGCAGUGAGGAAUAUUGGUCAAUGGGCGCAAGCCUGAACCAGCCAUCCCGCGUGCAGGAUGACGGCCCUAUGGGUUGUAAACUGCUUUUUAUACACCAAGAAAAAUCUACCACGAGUGGGGACCCGACGGUAGUGGUAUGAAUAAGCAUCGGCUAACUCCGUGCC
rnacentral:rRNA from 1 species